rnacentral:rRNA from 1 species
CCUACGGGAGGCAGCAGUGGGGAAUAUUGGGCAAUGGACGCAAGUCUGACCCAGCAACGCCGCGUGAAGGAAGAAGGCUUUCGGGUUGUAAACUUCUUUUAAGGGGGAAGAGCAGAAGACGGUACCCCUUGAAUAAGCCACGGCUAACUACGUGCCAGCAGCCGCGGUAAUACGUAGGUGGCAAGCGUUGUCCGGAUGUACUGGGGGUAAAGGGCGUGCAGCCGGAGAGAUAAGUCAGAUGUGAAAUCCACAGGCUCAACCUGUGAUCUGCAUUUGACGCUGUUUACAUUGAGUAUCGGAGAGGUCAUCGGAAUUCCUAGUGUAGCGGUGAAAUGCGUAGAUAUUAGGAAGAACACCAGUGGCGAAGGCGGAUGACUGGACGACAACUGACGGUGAGGCGCGAAAGCGUGGGGAGCAAACAGGAUUAGAUACCCGGGUAGUC